rnacentral:rRNA from 1 species
AGCGCAGGCGGGAAACUAAGCGGAUCUUAAAAGUGCGGGGCUCAACCCCGUGAUGGGGUCCGAACUGGUUUUCUUGAGUGCAGGAGAGGAAAGCGGAAUUCCCAGUGUAGCGGUGAAAUGCGUAGAUAUUGGGAAGAACACCAGUGGCGAAGGCGGCUUUCCGGACUGUAACUGACGCUGAGGCUCGAAAGCUAGGGUAGCGAACG